rnacentral:lncRNA from 1 species
GGCAAGGACUAUGUCCUAUUCCACCUUGAAUUCUCAUCACCAAGCGGAACGCCUGACACCUAAUCUAGUCAGUGCUUACUAAGUGCUCAUUAUCAAUGCAAGAAUAACAGAGCUAUGGAACCUGGCAGCCACCUCUUUUCUUUGGGCCUCAGUCUUCUCAUGCAGAACUUGGGAUUGGACUAAAUUGGAUCUCCUAGGCUGCCUCUGACUCUAACAAUUCUCUGAUUUAAAUUAUUCUUCAUCUGGAUGUAAUCCACCUUGCUUUUCCAUCCCAGGCUCUGUUCUCACUCAUGGCUGAUGGGCAAAGGCGACUAAGGAGGCACGGCUCCGUGAGGAUGUCCUUACAACUUUGCAACCCCCAAGGAAAAAGAGGUUGUUUUCCCAAUAUCUACUGUAAAACCUAAGAGGAAAAUUUCACGUUGCUGCAGCUUGGAUCAUGCAUUUAUCAUUUGGACCACCUCUGAGGACAGGGAGUUGCAAUGUGGAUUUUAUGGAAUAGAUGCUAUGUGGUGGAAUCCUGAGUCACGGCCAAACAGCAAAUGCCAGCAAGAGUAGAGUAGGAGGCAUUUCUGUGUACACUUUGGGAAAAAGUCCAUUCCUCACUUGGUUUCAUUUCUGGCCUGAGCCGCUGUGUCCUCCACCUGAAGCCCUGACCUCUCCGUUACUGACUGGAUCCCAAUGUGCCACAGUUCACCUGCAUAAGGAGGGGGUCGAAGACAAGAAAACUGUGAGAGGCUAAGUAAUUUGCUGAGCUCAUAUGACAUCUAAAUGGCAGAGCUCAGAAACCUCAGGGAUUAGAGUGAAGUAGAAUAGAGGAAGUUAACCUUUCCAGUGCUACCUGCGGGCUGAGAAUGACGCACACAGCUUUUUUGAUACCCGGAAGUGAGACAAACUCAUAAGAUGGGGUGAGGAAAUGAGACAUCAAAAGAUUAAGUGACUUGCUAAAAUUUACACUGCCUACGAAAGCUGACCUGGAAUGUGAACCAGAAAUUGUCCUUAACCAAAUCACCUCACUGUCUCUCAAGAGAUGGGGUCUCACUACAUUGCCCAGGCUGGCUCUCAAA